UAAGGAAUAUUGGUCAAUGGGCGCAAGCCUGAACCAGCCAUGCCGCGUGCAGGAAGACGGCCUUAUGGGUUGUAAACUGCUUUUAAUCAGGAAUAAACCCCCGUUCGUGAGCGGGGUUGAAGGUACUGGUUGAAUAAGCACCGGCUAACUCCGUGCCAGCAGCCGCGGUAAUACGGAGGGUGCAAGCGUUAUCCGGAUUUAUUGGGUUUAAAGGGUGCGCAGGCGGGCUGAUCAGUCAGUGGUGAAACCCCGGGGCUCAACUCCGGAGCUGCCAUUGAUACUGUCAGUCUUGAAUUCGGUUGAAGUGGGCGGAAUGUGUCAUGUAGCGGUGAAAUGCAUAGAUAUGACACAGAACACCGAUCGCGAAGGCAGCUCACUAAGCCGACAUUGACGCUCAUGC
rnacentral:rRNA from 1 species